AACGAACGCUGGCGGCAUGCCUAACACAGGCAAGUCGAACGAGACCUUCGGGUCUAGUGGCGCACGGGUGCGUAACGCGUGGGAAUCUGCCCUCUGGUACGGAAUAACUCAGGGAAACUUGAGCUAAUACCGUAUAAUGACUUCGGUCCAAGGAUUUAUCGCCUGAGGAUGAGCCCGCGUCGGAUUAGCUAGUUGGUGAGGUAAAGGCUCACCACGGCGACUAUCCGUAGCUGGUCGGAGAGGCUGAUCAGCCAACCUGGGACUGAGGCACGGCCGAGACUCCUAUGGUGGGCAGCAGUAGGGGAUAUUAGAAAGUGGGGGAAAGCCUGAUCCAGCAAUGCCGCGUGAGUGCGGAAGGCCUUAGGGUUGUAAAGCUCUUUUACCCUGGAUGAUAAUGGCAGUACCGGCAGAAUAAGCCCCGGCUAACUCCGUGCCAGCCGCCGCCGUAA
rnacentral:rRNA from 1 species